GAUGAACGCUGGCGGUGUGCCUAAUACAUGCAAGUCGAACGGGCUCUUCGGAGCUAGUGGCGGACGGGUGAGUAACACGUUGGUACCUACCCCUAAGUGGGGAAUAACUGCCCGAAAGGGUGGCUAAUACCGCAUAAUCCCGCAAGGGUAAAGCAGUAAUGCGCUUAGGGAGGGGCCUGCGUCUGAUUAGCUAGUUGGUAGGGUAAUUGCCUACCAAGGCGACGAUCAGUAGCUGGAUCGAGAGGUUGACCAGCCACACUGGGACUGAGAGACGGCCCAGACUCCUACGGGAGGAAGCAGUAAGGAAUCUUCCACAAUGGACGAAAGUCUGAUGGAGCAACACCGCGUGCAGGAUGACGGUCUUCGGAUUGUAAACUGCUUUUAUAUGGGAAGAUUAUGACGGUACCAUAUGAAUAAGGACCGGCCAACUACGUGCCAGCCGCCGCCGUAA
rnacentral:rRNA from 1 species